rnacentral:lncRNA from 1 species
AGUUGUUUAGCCGUAAAGAGAAUGUGACCAUUGUGGAAUGGUGGAACGGACAGAGAUGUUAAAUGAAAACCGUUGUUGGAAAACGGAGAAGACGUUGUGCGUUAAGAGUAGGCGAACCUAGUGAUGAUUAGGCGAUGGUUAUAAGAAUGGUGGGAAUACCUAUAGAGUUGUAUCAGUGUGAGCUAAACUUGUUAAUUAUUAGCAAGUGAACCUUUAAGGAAAGUAAACAUUUUGAAUAGUUCGAAGAGACUAGUCAAGAUUGGAAUAGAGAUUUUGUGUGGAUGAACUUUAGGAUGUUAUGACUUUAAGAUAGUCACGAGAUGCGAAUAAGAACUGAUCGAAUGGAGAAAAGUAUGUUUGUCACAAUGAGAAUGAUGAGGAACGCGACUAGUUGGAUUGUGUGCGACAAAUUAAGGACGUUGUUGGAAUCAACAAGAUAGAGAUCAUGGUUGUUUGGAAAUCAACUUUUGGAUAGUCACCGAGAUUGAAUAUGGACUUACUAGGUGAUCGAGAAGAGCCUAGGAAGGAUUUAUAGUGGUUGAGUGUGUUAGAGCCAAGUAAUCAUUUCUUGGAAAGAUUUGAGAAGCUUAGAAAUAGAUGUUAAGCUUAGAGAACCAUUAGUGUUGCAUAAUCAAGGAAAAGAAGUAAAUUCUCAUAGUAGAUGAGAAUGGAAUUAAGAGAUACCGUAGUAGGGUUAGUAAACUUGUGAAGGUGUCAAGUAGUAGAGGACGGUAUGAGUAGUAGAGUUAUUCCAAGAUAGAAGUGGGGUAACAAUUUGAUGGAUUUUGUAAGAGUUUGUCGAGAAGGAAAUAUUUUCAUUUGGAUAAUGAUCGGACAAUUGGUGUCGAGGUUGGACGGAACCUUAGAAGUCGAAAGGAAGCUAAGUACGAAGUGUCGUAUUUGGAUAAUUGGAAAUAAGGAAGUUAGCCUUUGGAAACGUGUCGAGCACGAGUAUUAGAGAGAUGUAAAGAAGUGACUUAUGUUGAGUAAAAGUUCGUUGGAAAAGUUAAUUAUGAGAUGGAAAAGUCGGUGGAGAUUAGAGAUGUUGGAUACAUCGUAAUCUAUUGGAAUAAUAAGGUCAUACCAUGUGGUAAGUGAUUUAAGGAUUUCGGAUAAUGUCAUCGUGGACGGUGGAACGACAGUGAGUCGAUGGGUGACUGCAGAUAAUAUUUUGGAUAAGAGCAUUUCGAUGGAGAAAUGAUAUUGGAAAUGACAUGUUAAGAAUCUUAGAAAUUGGCUAAGAGGUUAUUUGGAAAUAAAGUAAUUGUGUUGGAAUGCGACACAAUGAUUUGGAAAUUGUAAGAAUAAGGAAUUUAACGGUUAGAGAUGGUGAAUUUGACAAGUGUCAAGAAAAUUUGAAGAGUUGGUCAACAAAGGAAUGUUGAGGUUGUGUUGUCGACUAAAUGGUUGGGAUAAGAUUCAACAAAGUUAAGUGAUUAAGGAAAGAAGUAAAGGUUUAUGGAACUUGAAAAGUUGUGAAGUGUUCAACGGAGUGUCUUUCGAGGUGCAUUAGACGGAGUCGAAGUUGUUUUGGAGUAGUGUCGUGAGUACCCUAAGAUAUUAUUUGGACGUUUAAGUAGUUUGAUGAGAAUGGUUCAUACCGUCAUCGUGAUUGUUGACUAUCUAUCGACAAAUUGAGGGACUGGCCGUCCUUGAUCUAUUGUUGGUAGUAGACGAAAUUGUGAUGAUUGGGGUGAACUGAUUUUGUCAAACUUGGUUUGAUAUGGAAUUGGAACGUUUUGUUAGCAUGAAUCCGUAGAAAGGAUGAUUUUUGGACCGGAGAUUGUGUAAGAGAUCACAUCGGUUAAGGUAUUAUGAGUAGAAACCCGUUGGUUAGAAUGUAAGUUGGGAAUUAGAAAGUUGGAUUAGAGUUUUAUCUGAGGUUGUGUUUUAGUCGGAUAAUUUUCGAGGGCGAAAAUCUUUUAAGUGGGGGAGAGUUGUAACGACCCGAAAUUUAUUAUUCGUUAUUUAAUUAUUUUAUUACGCGGGGGCGUGAUUCAUAAUUAUUUUAUUAAGCAGCGAAUAAUUAAUUGGCGCGAACCUAAGUUAAUACG